UACGGAGGAUGCAAGCGUUAUCCGGAAUGCUUGGGCGUAAAGCGUCCGCAGGUGGCUAUGUAAGUCUGCUGUUAAAGAGUGAGGCUCAACCUCAUAAGAGCAGUGGAAACUACAUGGCUAGAGUGCGUUCGGGGCAGAGGGAAUUCCUGGUGUAGCGGUGAAAUGCGUAGAGAUCAGGAAGAACACCGGUGGCGAAAGCGUUCUGCUAGGCCGCAACUGACACUCAUGGACGAAAGCUAGGGGAGCGAAUGGG
rnacentral:rRNA from 1 species